GGCCCAACUCUCUCAUUUAUAAAAAAAAACAAAAACAAAAAGAUUUUACUCCCCACCCCACGUCUAUCUCUUCUUAUCUCCCUCUUCGACCAAAUCGAGGAUUGCAGCAAAUUCUCCCAAUUCACGUUGCCUUCUCCGAUUUAGACCGCAACGGACCUAGCCGUGCGUCGCCGUCGCAGUGGUGCCGCCGAUCCGCCGGGAAGUGCUGCUGUCUCGCCGGUCAGCCUCCGCCAGGCUCCGUCGCACGCCGCUGCUGUCGCACACCAGCUGUCGCGCCGCUGAACCGACGCCAGCCCAGGCUUCGCCUCCUCCGUCCGCUGCCUUCGUCGCCGGGAAGAGCUGCUGCUGCCAUCGCUGCUGUCGUCGUUCGUCCAGCCGGGAGAUGCCACCGCCGGUGGUUGUGCAGCCGUCGCCGGGAGGCGCUGCCUCCGAUUCCGCCCCGAUUUGCCCCGGAACUAACCCGUUCAGCCCCGCAAGACUCCGAUUUCAACCGAACAGACCGGUUUUCAUCCAACAUUUAUUUGCAGAUCACAGAGGAGGGAAAAAAAUCUUUGCACUUGUCGUCCAAGUCAACAGGAAGAGGAUUUAGUUUGAUUUGUUUAAUUCACAGUCGUUUGUAUUUUAUUAAAUUAUACAGGCCACAAGUUAUUUAUUACGGAAUGGAUUUUUAUAUUAUUUAUUCAAUUUAUUAAAUCCAACUCGCAGAUUGAGUCCAA